rnacentral:tRNA from 1 species
GGAGAGAUGGCCGAGUGGUUGAAGGCGCUUGAUUCGAAAUCAAGUAUAGGUGAAAGCCUAUCGGGGGUUCGAAUCCCCCUCUCUCCG